GGGUUGUGAGGUUAAGCGACUAAGCGUACACGGUGGAUGCCCUGGCAGUCAGAGGCGAUGAAGGGCGUGCUAAUCUGCGAUAAGCGCCGGUAAGGUGAUAUGAACCGUUAUAACCGGCGAUACCCGAAUGGGGAAACCCAGUGUGAUUCGUCACACUAUCAUUAACUGAAUCCAUAGGUUAAUGAGGCGAACCGGGGGAACUGAAACAUCUAAGUACCCCGAGGAAAAGAAAUCAACCGAGAUUCCCCCAGUAGCGGCGAGCGAACGGGGAGGAGCCCAGAGCCUGAAUCAGCAUGUGUGUUAGUGGAAGCGUCUGGAAAGGCGCGCGAUACAGGGUGACAGCCCCGUACACAAAAGCGCAUAUGCUGUGAGCUCGAUGAGUAGGGCGGGACACGUGGUAUCCUGUCUGAAUAUGGGGGGACCAUCCUCCAAGGCUAAAUACUCCUGACUGACCGAUAGUGAACCAGUACCGUGAGGGAAAGGCGAAAAGAACCCCGGCGAGGGGAGUGAAAAAGAACCUGAAACCGUGUACGUACAAGCAGUGGGAGCCCCACCACUAAGCCAGUGGUGAACUCCACAUACGCAUCCUUUGCUGAGGAGACGGUUAACGGAGCGAAAGCGACGUUCAACCUCAAAAGAAGCAGAGGGGGCUUAGUGGUGGGGUGACUGCGUACCUUUUGUAUAAUGGGUCAGCGACUUAUAUUCUGUAGCAAGGUUAACUGUAUAGGGGAGCCGGAGGGAAACCGAGUCUUAACCGGGCGUUAAGUUGCAGGGUAUAGACCCGAAACCCGGUGAUCUAGCCAUGGGCAGGUUGAAGGUUGGGUAACACUAACUGGAGGACCGAACCGACUAAUGUUGAAAAAUUAGCGGAUGACCUGUGGCUGGGGGUGAAAGGCCAAUCAAACCGGGAGAUAGCUGGUUCUCCCCGAAAGCUAUUUAGGUAGCGCCUCGUGAAUUCAUCUCCGGGGGUAGAGCACUGUUUCGGCUAGGGGGCCAUCCCGGCUUACCAACCCGAUGCAAACUGCGAAUACCGGAGAAUGUUAUCACGGGAGACACACGGCGGGUGCUAAUGUCCGUCGUGAAGAGGGAAACAACCCAGACCGCCAGCUAAGGUCCCAAAGUCAUGGUUAAGUGGGAAACGAUGUGGGAAGGCCCAGACAGCCAGGAUGUUGGCUUAGAAGCAGCCAUCAUUUAAAGAAAGCGUAAUAGCUCACUGGUCGAGUCGGCCUGCGCGGAAGAUGUAACGGGGCUAAACCAUGCACCGAAGCUGCGGCAGCGACACCGUGUGUUGUUGGGUAGGGGAGCGUUCUGUAAGCCUGUGAAGGUGUGCUGUGAGGCAUGCUGGAGGUAUCAGAAGUGCGAAUGCUGACAUAAGUAACGAUAAAGCGGGUGAAAAGCCCGCUCGCCGGAAGACCAAGGGUUCCUGUCCAACGUUAAUCGGGGCAGGGUGAGUCGACCCCUAAGGCGAGGCCGAAAGGCGUAGUCGAUGGGAAACGGGUUAAUAUUCCCGUACUUGGUGUUACUGCGAAGGGGGGACGGAGAAGGCUAUGUUGGCCGGGCGACGGUUGUCCCGGUUUAAGCGUGUAGGUAUGUGUUCCAGGUAAAUCCGGUUCACUUUAACACUGAGGCGUGACGACGAGGCACUACGGUGCUGAAGCAACAAAUGCCCUGCUUCCAGGAAAAGCCUCUAAGCAUCAGGUAACAUCAAAUCGUACCCCAAACCGACACAGGUGGUCAGGUAGAGAAUACCAAGGCGCUUGAGAGAACUCGGGUGAAGGAACUAGGCAAAAUGGUGCCGUAACUUCGGGAGAAGGCACGCUGACACGUAGGUGAAGUGAUUUACUCACGGAGCUGAAGUCAGCCGAAGAUACCAGCUGGCUGCAACUGUUUAUUAAAAACACAGCACUGUGCAAACACGAAAGUGGACGUAUACGGUGUGACGCCUGCCCGGUGCCGGAAGGUUAAUUGAUGGGGUCAGCGCAAGCGAAGCUCCUGAUCGAAGCCCCGGUAAACGGCGGCCGUAACUAUAACGGUCCUAAGGUAGCGAAAUUCCUUGUCGGGUAAGUUCCGACCUGCACGAAUGGCGUAAUGAUGGCCAGGCUGUCUCCACCCGAGACUCAGUGAAAUUGAACUCGCUGUGAAGAUGCAGUGUACCCGCGGCAAGACGGAAAGACCCCGUGAACCU
rnacentral:rRNA from 1 species